AUCAAGAAGCGGAACUUGUUUUGUCUUGUACGAUGGAUUUCCUUUUUCGAUUACCUGGUGCAAUGUUACUUUUUAGUUUUUGAAUAGGAGAUUUAUCUACAUGCAAAACGGUACAGUUAAAUGGUUCAACGCUGACAAGGGUUAUGGCUUCAUCACUGGUGACGAUGGCAAGGAUGUAUUCGUACAUUUCUCUGCUAUCCAAGGUGACGGCUACAAGUCUUUAGACGAAGGCCAAGCUGUUUCUUACGACGUUGAACAAUCCGAUCGUGGCCCCCAAGCUACGAACGUUGUUAAACACUAAUUCGUAAUUAACCAAAACCUCUGGGCAUCUGCCUGGAGGUUUUUU
rnacentral:other from 1 species